UGCCAUGAAUCUUUUCGCGACGUCGAUGAACCGCGCCGCCAGCGGCGACAGAUGAUCCUCGCGCCACACCAGCGAGAUAUCGAGCGUCGCAGUCGCGUCCGCGAUUUCCAGCGAUACGAUUCCCGGCGGCAGUGUCGGAAUGACGGAUGCNNNNNNNGUGCAGCCGAAACCCGACCGCACCAGUUGCAGGAGCACCGGAACGUCGUCGGCUUCUUCCG
rnacentral:misc_RNA from 1 species